CCUAAACUGAGCUUUUUUAUUCAGCCAGCAUUAGGGUUUUAAACCCUAAACUGAGCUUUUCCAUGCAAUCAGCAUUAGGGUUUUAAACCCUAAACUGAACUUUUUCCAUUCAGCCAGCAUUAGGGUUUUAAACCUUAAAUUGAGCUUUUUCCAUUCAGCCAGAUUAGGGUUUUAAACCCUAAACUGAGCUUUUCCAUGCAAUCAGCAUUAGGGUUUUAAACCCUAAACUGAAUUUUCCUUUUAGUCAGCAUUAGGGUUUUAAACCCUAAACUGAACUUUUUCCUUUCAGCCAGCAUUAGGGUUUUAAACCCUAAACUGAGCUUUUCCAUGCAAUCAGCAUUAGGGUUUUAAACCUGAAACUGAAUUUUUCCUUUAGUCAGCGUUAGGGUUUUAAACCCUAAACUGAACUUUUCCUUUUAGUCAGCAUUAGGGUUUUAAACCCUAAACUGAGCUUUUCCAUGCAAUCAGCAUUAGGGUUUUAAACCCUAAACUGAAUUUUCCUUUUAGUCAGCAUUAUGGUUUAUAACCCUAAACUGAACUUUUUCCUUUCAGUCAGCAUUAGGGUUUUAAACCCUAAACUGAGCUUUUCCAUGCAAUCAGCAUUAGGGUUUUAAACCCUAAACUGAAUUUUCCUUUUAGUCAGCAUUAGGGUUUUAAACCCUAAACUGAACUUUUUCCUAUCAGCCAGCAUUAGGGUUUUAAACCCUAAACUGAGCUUUUCCAUGCAAUCAGCAUUAGGGUUUUAAACCCUAAACUGAGCUUUUCCAUGCUAUCAGCAUUAGGGUUUUAAACACUAAACUAAAUUUCCCAUUUAGUCAGCAUUAGGGUUUUAAACCCUAAACUGAACUUUUUCCUUUCAGCCAGCAUUUGGGUUUUAAACCUUAAACUGAGCUUUUCCAUGCAAUCAGCAGUAGGGUUUUAAACCCUAAACUGAACUUUUUCCUUUCAGCCAGCAUUAGGGUUUUAAACCCUAAACUGAGCUUUUUCCAUACAAUCAGCAUUAGGGUUUUAAACCCUAAACUGAAUUUCCCAUUUAGUCAGCAUUAGGGUUUUAUACCCUAAACUGAACUUUUUCCUUUCAGCCAACAUUAGGGUUUUAAACUCUAAAUUGAGCUUUUCCAUGCAAUCAGCAUUAGGGUUUUAAACCCUAAACUGAGCUUUUUCCUUUCAGCCAGCAUUAGGGUUUUAAACCCUAAACUGAGCUUUUCCAUGUAAUCAGCAUUAGGGUUUUAAACCCUAAACUGAAUUUUCCUUUUAGUCAGCAUUAGGGUUUUAAACCCUAAACUGAACUUUUUUCAUUCAGCCAGCACUAGGGUUUUAAACUCUAAACUGAUCUUUUCCAUGCAAUCAGCAUUAGGGUUUUAAACCCUAAACUGAGCUUUUCCAUGUAAUCAGUAUUAGGGUUUUAAACCCUAAACUGAAUUUUCCUUUACAUCAGCAUUAGGGUUUUAAACCCUAAGCUGAACUUUUCCUUUUAGUCAGCAUUAGGGUUUUAAAACCCUAAACUGAACUUUUCCAUGUAAUCAGCAUUAGGGUUUUAAACCCUAAACUGAAUUUUCCUUUUAGUCAGCAGUAGGGUUUUAAACCCUAAACUGAACUUUUUCCAUUCAGCCAACAUUAGGGUUUUAAACCCUAAAUUAAGCUUUUCCAUGUAAUCAGCAUUAGGGUUUUAAACCCUAAACUGAAUUUUCCUUUAUAUCAGCAUUAGGGUUUUAAACCCUAAGCUGAACUUUUCCUUUUAGUCAGCAUUAGGGUUUUAAAACCCUAAACUGAACUUUUCCAUGUAAUCAGCAUUAGGGUUUUAAACCCUAAACUGAAUUUUCCUUUUAGUCAGCAUUAGGGUUUUAAACCCUAAACUGAACUUUUUCCAUUCAGCCAACAUUAGGGUUUUAAACUCUAAAUUGAGCUUUUCCAUGCAAUCGGCAUUAGGGUUUUAAACCCUAAAUUGAACUUUCCUUUUAGUCAGCAUUAGGGUUUUAAACCCUAAACUGAACUUUUUCCUUUCAGCCAGCAUUAGGGUUUUAAACCCUAAACUGAGCUUUUCCAUGCUAUCACCAUUAGGGUUUUAAACCCUAAGCUGAACUUUUCCUUUUAGUCAGCAUUAGGGUUUUAAAACCCUAAACUGAACUUUUCCAUGUAAUUAGCAUUAGGGUUUUAAACCCUAAACUGAAUUUCCCUUUUAGUCAGCAUUAGGGUUUUAAACCCUAAACUGAACUUUUUCCAUUCAGCCAGCAUUAGGGUUUUAAACCCUAAACUGAGCUUUUCCAUGCAAUCAGCAUUAUGGUUUUAAACCCUAAACUGAAUUUUCCUAUUAGUCAGCAUUAGGGUUUUAAACCUUAAACUGAACUUUUCCUUUUAGUCAGCAUUAGGGUUUUAAACCCUAAACUGAACUUUUCCACUCAGCCAGCAUUAGGGUUUUAAACCCUAAACUGAGCUUUUCCAUGUAAUCAGCAUUAGGGUUUUAAACCCUAAACUGAAUUUUCCUUUUAGUCAGCAUUAGGGUUUUAAACCCUAAACUGAACUUUUUUCCAUUCAGCCAGCAUCAGGGUUUUAAACCCUAAACUGAGCUUUUCCAUGUAAUCAGCAUUAGGGUUUUAAACCCUAAACUGAAUUUUCCUUUUAGUCAGCAUUAGGGUUUUAAACCUUAAACUGAACUUUUCCUUUUAGUCAGCAUUAGGGUUUUAAACCCUAAACUGAACUUUUCCAUUCAGCCAGCAUCAGGGUUUUAAACCCUAAACUGAGCUUUUCCAUGCAAUCAGCAGUAGGGUUUUAAACCCUAAACUGAACUUUUCCAUUCAGCCAGCAUUAGGGUUUUAAACCCUAAACUGAGCUUUUCCAUGUAAUCAGCAUUAGGUUUUUAAACCCUAAACUGAAUUUUCCUUUUAGUCAGCAUUACGGUUUUAAACCCUAAACUGAACUUUUUCCUUUCAGCCAGCACUAGGGUUUUAAACCCUAAACUGAGCUUUUCCAUGCAAUCAGCAUUAGGGUUUUAAACCCUAAACUGAACUUUCCUUUUAGUCAGCAUUAGGGUUUUAAACCCUAAACUGAACUUUUUCCUUUCAGCCAGCAUUAGGGUUUUAAACCCUAAACUGAGCUUUUCCAUGCUAUCAGCAUUAGGGUUUUAAACCCUAAACUGAACUUUUUCCUUUCAGCCAGCAUUAGGGUUUUAAACCCUAAACUGAGCUUUUCCAUGCAAUCAGCAUUAGGGUUUUAAACCCUAAACUGAAUUUUCCUUUUAGUCAGCAUUAGGGUUUUAAACCUUAAACUGAACUUUUCCUUUUAGUCAGCAUUAGGGUUUUAAACCUUAAACUGAACUUUUCCUUUUAGUCAGCAUUAGGGUUUUAAACCCUAAACUGAACUUUUCCAUUCAGCUAGCAUUAGGGUUUUAAACCCUAAACUGAGCUUUUCCAUGUAAUCAGCAUUAGGGUUUUAAACACUAAACUGAAUUUUCCUUUUAGUCAGCAUUAGGGUUUUAAACCCUAAACUGAACUUUUUCCUUUCAGCCAGCAUUAGGGUUUUAAACCCUAAACUGAACUUUUUCCUUUAGUCAGCAUUAGGGUUUUAAACCAUAAACUGA
rnacentral:lncRNA from 1 species